AGCUACCGAUGACGUGAGCAGUGUAUCACGUGACUGCGGCGACUUCAGGAACGCCGCGGGCAGCACCAUGAUUUGAGGUUCAGGAUAUUAUAAAUGUUGCACAUAAUGAGGUGGUUCCAUAUUGCACUUCUCCUGCUUAUGUCUACAACAUGUGUCUUCUCACAAGUUACUCUCACUCAGCCUGAGUCUGAAGUUGUGAAGCCCUCAGGGACCCUGAAAAUCACUUGUCAUGUCUCAGUCUCUGUUGGCAGCUAUCACUGGGGCUGGGUCAGGCAAUUACCUGGGAAAGGACUGGAAUACAUGGGACGCAUUACUAGCAGUGGGGUACAACAGAUUGCCCCGUCCUUCCAGGGUCAAAUCACUUUAACCAGGGACACAUCAAAAAAUGAAAUUUAUCUGCAAAAACCUAAUAUGAUGAUAUCAGAAUCUGGAAUGUAUUUCUGUGCUAGAGACACAGCCAAACAAGGGAGUCAGGAUGUGUAAAAAAACUCCUGAGACUAUGGGGAGAGGGAGGGAGAGAAGAAAAACAAUAAUUUAACAUUCCUGUAUCUACAAUUCUAGUAGCUUUUUAUUUAGUUUGUAAUAAUAUAUCCUUUUAUGGGGGAUUUUAAUUUCUCAAUUUCUAAUGCUUUUUAAAGUUUGAUUGGAAACAAACUCUGACAUUAAAAU